GAUGAAGAACGUAGCGAAAUGCGAUAAGUAGUGUGAAUUGCAGAAUUUAGUGAAUCAUCGAAUUUUUGAACGCACAUUGCGCCCUUUGGUAUUCCGAAGGGCAUACCUGUUCGAGCGUCAUUUCAACCCUCAAGCUCUGCUUGGUAUUGGGCCCGGUGGGCGAUUGCCUACCAGCCUUAAAGAGAGUGGCGGUGCCCCGCGGCCCUGAGCGUAGUAACUACUCCCGCUAUAGGUGUCCACGGGCUCACCAGCCAGCAACCCCAACUUUCUAUGGUUGACCUCGGAUCAGGUAGGGAUACCCGCUGAACUUAAGCAUAUCAAUAAGCGGAGGA
rnacentral:misc_RNA from 1 species